UGGCGGAAUGGUUUUAAUCGGCCCGUCUAGUAACACGGACCAAGGAGUCUAACAUGUGUGCGAGUCGGUGGGUGACAAACCCACGAGGCGCAAGUAACCUGACUGAGCAAAUUCGACCGACCAUGAUCUUCUGUGAAAGGUUUGAGUGCGAGCAUACAUGCUGGGACCCGAAAGAUGGUGAACUAUGCCUGAGCAGGGCGAAGUCAGAGGAAACUCUGAUGGAGGCUCGUAGCGAUACUGACGUGCAAAUCGUUCGUCGGAUUUGGGUAUAGGGGCGAAAGACUAAUCGAACCAUCGAGUAGCUGGUUCCCUCCGAAAUUUCCCUUAGGAUAGCUG
rnacentral:rRNA from 1 species